rnacentral:lncRNA from 1 species
ACCCUGUGAACAGCAGCAGAGCAUGGCAAGAAAAAGACCAGAGAGCUUCCGCUCUGCUGUCCACGGGGUCACUGGGACUUGGAAUUGCCUCCACAGCACUAACAACAACAAAAACUCUUAGAAAAUAGUUGCAAAAACUGAAACACUGCGCUGUGAGUUUCCUUGCCAUUCACAGCCAAAAUUCCUUACUUUUUUUGCAUAACCACAUCUCUGUCUGAUCUAAGCAAUAUUAAGAAACAAUAACAAACAAACAAAACACAAAACCAAAACAACCAGCACCAAGUCACUCCACAGCUGUCCCCUGUGACCACACGCAUGCCAAGCAUAGUUGGUGGGGCCGGUCUGGCCACCACGGAGAGAGAGAAGUCCUGAUGAGAUCCAGCGAAGGAAACCCGAGACGGCUCUAGGGGGAGACCGAGGCAGCCAGGAGGAGCAGGGGUGCCCGUGUGAGGCCCAUGUGCACAGCUGCAGCGCCGGACACACAACGCUGCCCACACAUCUGCAGUUCUCCGCAGAGCCCACCAGGGUGAGACGAGCACGCAGGAGCUAGGAGCUGCCAUUGCUGCUGACGCAGCCAGGACUUUCUGGGGCCCACCUGGCUGGGGGCCACAGUCUCCCAUGUACAGGCUCUGCGUUUUCCUACCCACUCAAAGCACAGCACUUUCCAU